GAGUUUGAUCUUGGCUCAGAUUGAACGCUGGCGGCAUGCCUAACACAUGCAAGUCGCGCGGGGUGUAGCAAUACACCUAGCGGCGGACGGGUGAGGAAUACAUAGGAAUUUGCCCUUAAGUGGGGGAUAGCCAGGGGAAACUCUGGGUAAUACCGCAUGAUCUCGUGAGAGCAAAGCCGGGGACCGCAAGGCCUGGCGCUUUUGGAGAAGCCUAUGUCUGAUUAGCUAGUUGGUGAGGUAACGGCUCACCAAGGCAACGAUCAGUAGCUGGUCUGAGAGGACGAUCAGCCACACCGGAACUGAGACACGGUCCGGACUCCUACGGGAGGCAGCAGUGGGGAAUAUUGGACAAUGGGCGCAAGCCUGAUCCAGCAAUGCCGCGUGUGUGAAGAAGGCC
rnacentral:rRNA from 1 species